AAUUUGGGCUCCAGGAACUGUCUGGGGAAGCAGUGAAUCUGCGUGGCUGUAAUAAACACACUGCCACGAUGAUGAUUUAUUGAAGUCCCACCAGCACCCAAUUAUGUAAAUCCGAUUAUCUGUUGAGGAGGCUUUACUGGAACAGCUUGUAGUUGUAACACCUUAUUUUUGUCAGAAACGAGAAAAUUUAGUCGAAUAUGACUUUUGAGUCUUAAGCAUUAUGCUUCCACAGCCAAAUACAGCCGUCUCACUUGCAUGUGGCUCUGGAAGGUGGAGCAGGGAGAGAAGCAAGGAAGGGACCCCAAGGAUUGGCAGCAAUACAAUUGUCAGCCUGCCUUAGAGUGGGUCCUGUGACUAUGGCUUCUGCCAGAUGCUUUUAAAGAAGAUAGAAGCUGUGCACAACAAGCAAAUGGUAAAGAAGGCAGAGCCGGAGCAGUUCCUCCUGCAGUGCUUUUGUCACAUGGCCCCAUCUCUGACCUCACUGCUGUUGUGUCACCUGAGACUCCUCUCUGUAAACCUGUACCAGAGCCUCUGUGCUGCAGAGCAAAAUGGACUAUGAAUUGACUCUGAGGUACAGCAAAAUAUGGUGUAGGUGCAUCUUCAUGACCAGGAGGUGGAUAACAACAACCAUCUCAGAAAAACACAAGUCCAAGGAUUUCCAACACGCUUAUUUGGUUACAAAUGAGCCCCUGGCCAAGCUGCUCUUCUUUCUUAAGAACAAGCAAGCUAGGACAUCUUACUAUGACAUAAGAAAAAUGUCAGAUAGAAGAAAUCCUGGGGAGAAUGUUAAAAUGAAUGGCUUACCUGACAGAGAGGAAGGAAAUUUGAGCCUGCACAGUUCAGGUGCCUGAAAUCAUACACCACUCUCAUAAUAUGAGGUUCCCAUGUGAAGCAAUACAGAAUAUUCCUGUGAAUUCAGUUGUGUGUCUACAAAGGUAACUACAGCUGUGCUACAUUGGAAAAUUGCAGCUUGUACACACAUUGUCCUUCAGGGAAAUAACAAAGAGACAGCCCACACAAGAAUCCAAGCAGCACAGAAUGCAAAACACAUUCUUGUUCUACUCUGUAACUAGAAGUUUCAAUAAUAUAAAUAAUAACAGUAAACAGUAAAGAGAAUAAUUUGAGAGCCAAAGGGUAGGGACAGUUGAAAUAACUAUAAUAAAUCACUCUAGUGUAUGAAGAAAAGCUGAAGGUGAUAAUUGGCAAACACCUUACAUGGGAGAAUUUCUCCUGUAGGAAAGAGCUGAUAGAGGGAAAUGUAUCUGGUAGUUGGUACCAAUGUAAGAAGAGAAGAAAAAGCUGGAGGGAAUUGCCCUGCCAUGGCAAGAGAAUGGAGAGCACAACCAGAGGAGAUCUGAUCCAGGAUAGAAGAGGAGGAAACUUGCCUUUUAAAAUUCUGACUCAUGGCUACUUUAUAAAACUAUAUCAAAAUUUGAAAUAAUUUACAUUGUACCUGCAGUAAAGCUGCUGGAGAAUAUUCACACAGAGGCUCUCAGUGCCGCUGAUGGGUUUAUGCUUCUCAGAAUUGGAGGAAAAACAGAAAUAAAGAUUCUUUCUCCCUUCAUUAGAACCAGCUACUAAACCCUACAGCAUUUCUAGGCUCAGAAUCUGAUUGAUCUUCUGGAUUAGGAGAAGUAUAUCAUUUCUAAAUGUGAUUAUUUAGUUGUCUUGUGCCUGGGGACAUUCCUUGUUGAUAAAGAACCUCAAAAAAUCUAUUUUAGCUUUAAGAGAGUGUUUUCAUGACAGACAGACACAAUUCACUUUUAGGCUAUUUCGCACUGAAGACACCAGCUGAUCAUCCAGCCCAGAAUGAAGUUAGUUCUGUGCACCUGGUACCAGUCAGUAGCAAAAGAAAGCAGGAUGGGUCUUGAAACUUCAGGAAAUGCUGGAAGUGACUAAUUGGAUGAAUGCUCUUAGAUGAUCUCAGGCUCAGCACCUGACAGACACCACCCAGCUUCCAGCUGACCCAGAGCACAGUCACAGCUUUCAUAUAUCUGCCUGCUAAAGGCCACGCAGAGAUGCCAUGAACUACCUGAGCUCAGAAGUAGCAGGUGGGCUGUUGGUGGGGCUGAUAGCCUUCUUCUAUCACAGGCUCAGAUCUUUUUCUUUCAAAAGGCACAUGAGGCAUUUAUAUGCCCUAUGGUUGGUUCUCUUUUCUCCCUCUCAAAACACAGUCCUUGAAGCUAUAGGCACCCAGCACUGGGAACAAAUGUUGUCACAAGAUUCUGAGACAAGGAAUGUAUCCCUGUCCUGUGCCCUGAGGUUGUAAAACAGAGGCGCUAUUGAGAAAAUUUAAUAACCCUUUCAGUUCUUGCUACAAUUGCUUCCCUUCACAGUUUUUAUAACUAUUCUUUAAAACCACUUUUUGGGGAAACUUGAGUUUUGCUGCCCUAAAGUAUUCAAUGUUUCUUAGGUGCAGUCUCAGGAGAUUCAAGAACAAUAGACAGAAAGAAAUGCAGUUGGAGGAAAAAUAAAGCAGCUGGAUGUUGGGAGUAGAGAGAGGAGUCUCUGCUUUGCCUCCUAUUCCUUAUUUUUCUGUUGCUGGAGUUCCAGCAAGCAGGUAUUAAUAAUAAAUAAAAAGAACUGUGAAGGUUAUCACACUGACCUCUUCCCUCUUUCAAGUAGAACUCAAGUUCUUUUUAUUGAUUAUACACAAACUUCAUCACAUUCAGACUAGUCCUGUCCUGCCUUUCAAGGAAGUCUGGAGCUUGAACAACCGAGGCCAAAACCUGUUCAUUUCCCCCCACCUUCCACUCUUACUUCUAAGAAAUAAAAAGCCUUUGGACUUAUGGGAAAUGUAACACUGAAAGUGGAUAUCUUUGUCUUUUUGAUUUGCUGGUUGACCACAGGGUUUUUGAUGUCAUUUAACACAAGACACAUUGUGUUUAAUAGCAUUUUAUGAUGCUGUUCUUUCAACAAACAUCAGCCUAUCAUCUUUGUGCCUGGUUCAAGGAUCUGGCCGUGACACCUCAUCUACAGAACUAGUGACAAGAAACCAUAUUACUUGGAGAUCAUUGCUGAAGAAAGGAUAAAUGCCAUUUAUUGUAAAUGCUACUGUAUAUUCUGUACCACGUGCAGAACAGAGAGCUUUUUCUGAAUAAUUUUAAAUUAUCCAGAGUCUCAAAAGAAAAGAUAUUAAAGGUCAAAGCCAAGUC
ensembl:lncRNA